rnacentral:tRNA from 1 species
GCCGGCAUGGUGGAAUGGUAGACACGGCAGACUCAAAAUCUGCUGGGGGCAACCCCGUGAGAGUUCAAGUCUCUCCGCCGGUA